rnacentral:misc_RNA from 1 species
GUUGGGUUAUAGACUGAUGGCUCAUGACUUCAACCAGUCACUGGGUCAGAUCGUACUCUUCAAAAAAUGGUUGCAAUAUCUUUCUCAUUUAUCCCUAGAGGAUUGGUUGCACUCUUGAAUCAGGAAACACGGCCCAAUUUCAGUUCUUUCUUGUUCUUGUCAUAAAUAUCAUUGGAGUUAGAGAGGAGGAUUUGGAGUUUCUUGGGUUCAUUACAGGAAAAUCUCUUUAAGUUGUUUGAUGCGAGGGUUUAAGUUGCUUGAUUUAGAGUUUUCCACCUGUAGUACUUGACACGGAUGCUGUACAGGUGUAAAUUACUUAUUCUCAAAUGACAGUCUUCUCAGAGGUUAGAGCUAGUUUAACACUGUAGUGAUGGCUAAGUAAACAAGAAAGGUAUCACAUCUAAACUUAUUAGUGAACGGCAAUUGAGACAGAAGGAAUCAAGUUUAUUGCUUGAGCUCAUGCCAUUCUCUUUUCAGACUUGACUUUUAGUUGAAAAUUAAUAUUCACUUCAUAUAGGAGCUGCAACAAGACUAAUACUUGGUGAGAAAGUCUUAUAUUCUUUUUGCAUGAUGCAACAGUUCUAAAGCAUCAUUCCAUGGAAUGGUGGAAUUGGCCUUACAGAUGAGGAGCAAUGGCUGCACCAUUGAGAGCAUCUAUGAGAGAUGACAUGUUGCCUUUUGAAGAUUCUGGAAGGAAUUUGUCAUUGACUAGCACUUUUAGGCUUGUGAAGUAUCACGUUAGAAAAUAUUUCCUAGUUAUAUCACAUGGGAUUACAGCUUUGCUGUCAUCUUUUCUUAAAGUGGUUAUCAAAUUCCCACAUGGUAGGAAUUAGACCCCCCACAGGCAUGUUAAUUCCCAUGUUCUGCGGUUCAACCUUCCAACAAAAUUGGAAACUUUUUCAUUUGUGGAUAGGAAUUCUUUGAGGAUUUUCUGAAACAACGGCACCAUAGUAGGAACACUGGAACAGAUGAAAUCCUUUGCCCCACAGGCAGAUUGAUCAAUUGUGUGAACAAUACUGAAAUGUAUGUGACAUCACAAGUACUCUGUUGUGUCAUUUAUCAGUGCACUCCACUGGGUAUGUUAAUAUGGAAUAUCCUGAAAGGACAUGAUUCUGAUUAUUUUGAAAAAAGAGGUUAAUUUUAUCUUCCUGAAAGUGAGGAUAAUUCAUGUUUUAUUUUACUUCAAGAUUAAUCCUUUAACAUGAAUAUAGACAUUGCAGUGUCAUGUCUACAUGAAAAAAAUGUUUCAUCUUAGAUUAAUCAAGUGAUGGAGAAAGAGUUAAAUUGACGUGCAUUAUGAACCAGUUCUUUGAAACCCAAAAAAAGAAAAAGAGAGAAGUUUCGGAGCCAAUUUUGUCAGUAAUCCUUUUAGAUGUAAAGGACAAUCUGCAUAGCUAUCAUAAAAUCAAAGCCAUCACUUAUGUGUUUGAAUUACAUCUAAUACCUAGUUAAAUAUGUAUAAUUGGGCUUGAUAGGCAUUUCUUUUUUGUCGCUAAUAAUGUAAUUGGUAUCUUAACGUCUUCUGUUGCAUUGCAGCUGGGCAGGAAAGGUUUGGAACAUUAAUGAGUUCUUACUACAGGGGGGCACAUGGAAUUAUCCUUGGUAUGCCAUUGCAACUAUGAAAAUUUGUACAACAUAUUUAUGGUUAAGAUUGCCAUAUUUUGUUGAAUUGGACUCACUCAAUUGAGCAUUAAGGAACAUAGCGAAACUGUGAACUAGCAACUUGUAUCAAGCCUGGAAGUUCUGUUCCUUUAUACAAAACAUAAAAACCUGUUUAAUCAGAAAAAAUCAUAUUGAUUUUGUUCUUUAAAAGUGCCUAUGAUUUUUUAAUUCCUGGCGACUGAUUUUUCAUACUCUGUGAUCAUAGUGUGUUUAUUUGGAUGAACUCACAUUCUUGUUAUACUACAAUUCGAUCAUUUCUUCAUUCUUUUCUUGUUAUAAAAAUUCUUGACUAACUAAGUUGGUAUCAUAUCUUCAAAUCUGGAAUUAUAUAGUUUUUCCAGCAGUGUGUGUUAUGUAUAUCCUUCUUCAGUUUGUACUUUAAUUUCCUUUUAGUUUAUGAUGUGACCCGCCGAGAGACAUUCACAAACUUGUCAGAUAUAUGGGCAAAGGAAGUGGAGCUCUACUCCACUAAUCAAGAUUGUAUCAAAGUUCUUAUUGGAAAUAAAGUUGAUAAGGUAAGUUGCCGUUCCAAAUUGCUGUCUUUUCCUAAAAUGUACCUCAAGCUCAUAAGCACUUAAAAUAUAUAUCCUGCAAAUUAUUUUUGGAAAAGAAUGUUCAGAUUUUUAUGAUAUAGAAUGGAAUGUAUCUUUAGUUUUAUUUUUAUCAUUCCUAGAUUGUAUAUUUUAAGAAGGGAUUUUUGCUUAUUCUGAUGAUAUUAUAUUCUCAGGACAGUGAAAGAGCUGUAAGUAGGGAGGAGGGAAUGGCUCUUGCUGAGGAACAUAAAUGUUCAUUUCUUGAAUGUAGCGCUAAAACCAGAGAAAAUUUACUGCAGUGUUUUAAAGAGCUAAUACUAAAGAUACUGGAGGUACCUAGUUUUUUGGAGAAGGGACCUGUAGUCAUCAAACAACAGAUUUUAAAACAGAAACCAGGAUACCAGGCACCACGUAAUGGUGGUUGCUGCUCCUAAUUAAAGGGCCACGAUGCCAAGGUGUGACAAACACAAGUAUGAGCAAAACCAGUGGAAGAUCCCUGACCAUUUGUGCUAAUGGAAAUUGAAUGGCUAGUCUCUUGGACACUGUUCACACUCCAACAGUGUAUAUGAUGUACAUAUACUCUAAAGCUUGAUCGUGGUAGUAUGAUCAGUUCUAGGAAGUCAGUUCUUAACACCUUGUUCAUGUUAUUCUUCCAUUUUCAAUAUCCAGUUCAAUAUACUCUCUACAGCUGUUACAGGGACUUUUUUUUUUCCAUAGUAAUAUUAAGUUUGUGAGUGACAUGUAAAGUUAAUAGUUUAGUAUCAAAUGGUUAAUAGUUUUGUACAAGUAGGAGAUGUAUACUUGAGGAAAAGCAGAUGUAUAAACAUUGCUGAAUGUGGGAAAUAAAUGUCUUUCUUUUGGC